ACGCUGGCGGUAGGCUUAACACAUGCAAGUCGUGCGAGAAAGUAUCUUCGGAUAUGAGUAGAGCGGCGGACGGGUGAGUAACGCGUAGGAAUCUACCUAGUAGAAGGGGAUAGCCCGGGGAAACUCGGAUUAAUACCGUAUACCUCCUUCGGGAGAAAGAAGGCCUCUCUUUGAAGCUUUCGCUACUAGAUGAGCCUGCGUAAGAUUAGCUUGUUGGUGAGGUAAAGGCUCACCAAGGCGACGAUCUUUAGCGGGUCUGAGAGGACGAUCCGCCACAUUGGGACUGAGACACGGCCCAGACUCCUACGGGAGGCAGCAGUGGGGAAUAUUGGACAAUGGGCGCAAGCCUGAUCCAGCCAUACCGCGUGUGUGAAGAAGGCCCUAGGGUUGUAAAGCACUUUAAGUUGGGAAGAAAAGUUAUUGGUUAAUACCCAAUAGCCGUAACAUUACCAUCAGAAUAAGGACCGGCUAAUUCCGUGCCAGCAGCCGCGGUAAUACGGAAGGUCCAAGCGUUAAUCGGAAUUACUGGGCGUAAAGCGCGCGUAGGUGGUUUAUUAAGUUGGAUGUGAAAUCCCCGGGCUCAACCUGGGAACUGCAUCCAAAACUGAUUCACUAGAGUACGAUAGAGGGAGGUAGAAUUCACAGUGUAGCGGUGGAAUGCGUAGAUAUUGUGAAGAAUACCAAUGGCGAAGGCAGCCUCCUGGAUCUGUACUGACACUGAGGUGCGAAAGCGUGGGUAGCGAACAGGAUUAGAUACCCUGGUAGUCCACGCCGUAAACGAU
rnacentral:rRNA from 1 species